UGGAAAUGACCCCACACACCUGUCACCUGGCUGGCGGGAGCCUUUAGGUCCUGUGGCCCAUGUGUCUGUAGCUCGGGUCAGGUGUGGCUCUCCAAAGUCCUUCUCAGUGGCUGUAGGCCUCCCUGGUAACUCAUGAGGUCACCAAGCCCACCUUUUGGCUUCAGAAAUCCCUUCCUUCAGCCUCCCUCAGAGCUGGAUGUCUGUGCUGGAACUCAGAGCUCAGAGAUGCUCAGGAUGGAGACUUCCGGUGUCCUUCUGUCCAUGUUUACGCCCGUCGUGGCUCCUGAACAACACCAGGCUGUAACAUCCCUCGACCCCUUGCCUUCUGCCUACCUGGUUAUCAGUUGCUCACAUUGCCUGGGCAGUCACUUCAGCACUGCCCUUAAAUUUCCUCCAAACCCACAGCCUUCCCAAUUAUACCAGGUGUACUUGCACCAUUAUUUAGUUGCAAAUACUGCACGGCAGAGUGACAUAAGAUAGAAUGUAGAACAGCUGUGCAGGGAAACAAAAAUCAACUUGUGAGCAUUCUGCAAGGUGAGGGUACACUUUUUAGAAUAAAAAUGUGUAUUUCACUAUGUUGUAACUUGACCAAAAAACUUGUAUACUUGGUCAUACAGGAUAAUAAGGACGGGUCCUCCCAGUGGAACGAGAUCCUUGCCAACUUGCCCAUGUGAGCCUGAAAAUGUGAUACAUGAAUCGUAAAGCCUUAAUGUAUUGAGGACUGCAGAUAAGUACGUGUCCGUGUGGUGUAGUUCGAAGUUUAAGCUGAAGGAGGAACACAGUGAUUAUAGAUCACAGCUGUGACCCUGCAGAGAGUCUUGGGUAUCCAGAGUCAUGUUUGGAGAAAACAGACCGCAUGAGCUGAAGAGAGAACAAAUGCGAGUGUUUCCGGGUUUAUGGUGAUUAUUUUCAGGCUAGCAAUGAACUCUCACUUCCCAGAACCCUAAAGAUCACGGAAACUGUCUGAACGUCUGCUCUCCGCUGCAGUCACCCAGGGAGCCUCAAAAGAGCCUGCUGACUGAGUCUCCCCCAGAAAUUGUGCUGUUAUCGGUCUGAAAGGAAGCCCUAGUCAUUGUGAUUUAAAAAAAAAAAAAAUACCCCAGAUGAUUAUACUAUGGAACCAAAACUGGAUCAUUGAUGUGGUCUCAACAUUUGCCGGUCUCUACCGACUGGAAGACAUAAAUGCGUAACUUUUUGGUACUAUUUUUCCAGGGACAGAGAGAUCACCUUUUACUUAAGGACGCAUAGAAGGGAGCAAGAAGGCUGGAAGAAGAUAUAAAAGAAUCUCACCAGCAUCUGAAUAUCCUCACCUUCCUCGCUUGAGGGUGUAUGUUUUGUGCACUCGAUUUCUGGAUAGUUUGAACUGCAGAAUGGGAGGAAUGGGUAAGAAGAAAGAAAAACUGAUGAACAAGAAGGAUGCAGGAGAAGGAGGUUGUUUAGGACAACUCAUGGUAGCUAAACCUUGGAAGCAGGCUCUAUGGCCACCAACAGAUGAACAACAGUACUACUCUGUCACAAAGAAGGAUGAACUUGAGUAAUUGAUGCUCCGAAUCUAUGCUUGAUGAUCACCAUGAAGAGAAAUCUUCCCCAAACCUAAUGACACACUGGCUGAGGUGGCCCGUGUGGAAACCCUUCAGCUAAUCAGCAAGACUUAAGGCGUAUUCUUCUUCUGGUGGCAGUAAGACAGAAAAGAUGCAGACAACAAACCAUAAUUAAGGAAUAAUCCCUGCCUACAUCGGUUUCACCCUGCAGUCAGAGGAUCAAAGCAGAAGAACUACAUCUGAAGGCUACAGAGCUGCCUAGUCCUGGCAUGAGAGAAUGGUUGUGUUUGUUUGGGUCAGAUUUUAGUGGUCAGGAAAGCGAAGGCGUGUUGCAUAACAACAACAAAAAAAGUGUUAGGUGAAAUGUAAAAACCAAAACUCUGAGGUAGAGAGACUGUGGGAAUCAUUGGACACGUAAGUUGCUGUUGUGCCUUCCUUAUUACACAUGGACUUUCUGCUUCUGGAAUCAGAUCCAAUGGGAAUCAUAAACAUCCUGACGAAUAUAAAACAUCAGAAAGCACAGGAGUGCUUUAAACAUGAUAACGCAUUUGGGAUCAUGAUGUCAAAAGUUUUCGCGGUCUUUCUCUGUGCCAGGAUGUGUUCUAAGCACAUUAUCCCACUUACUCUUCGAUUCUAUCAAUUAGGUGCUACUAUUCCCACAUCCCAGAUGGGGGAAAGGAGUCACAGAGCAGUUUAAUAAUUCAUCCAAAGCAAAGCUAGGGCUUAAAACUCAGUGACACACAAGCUCUUCACAAGUUCUCCAUGCUGGAAUGGUGUCAAACGUCUAGAAUCGUCUUUUGGGAAGUUAUUCAAUGGCAUGAAAGAGUAUUAAAAACUUCCAAGCAGUGGUGAAUCUGUAUGGGAAGUAUGUUUCCAAGGUGAAGAUAUGCAG
rnacentral:lncRNA from 1 species